GAAUCUCUUGAACCUAGAGGUGGAGGCUGCAGUGAGCUGAGAUUGUGCCCCUGCACUCCAGUCUGGGUGACACAGCGAGCCUCCAUCUUUAAAAAAUAAAAGAUUAGGCCCUGAACUUGCAAGUAAGCACAUAGAUAAGCUAGUGCAAGAGAGUGUCUAGCGGAAAAGGAAGGAAACAAUUUCAAAGUAUGUUUUCAAGGCUAAAAGCAAGAAAGGGAAAAAAAAAAGUUUCAAAAUGCAUUUGGAAUCUAAGCCACUUGGUUACGGGAAGUCUUAGCAGGGUGGUGGUUGCAAGGAUAUGCUGUGUCUUGCACACGCAGGAGCUGGAGACUGGACGGUGAACAAAAACUAAAGCAGCUGUCAAUGUGGAGCCUGCAUGCUGCUGGGAUUGGUAAAGAAGGACCAGGGCCUUCUGGGGGAGAAUUUUCUCAGUGAUAAGGAGGGACUUUGUCAGGGCAAGUGUUUAGGGAACCCUACUCUCCCUCUCCACAGGCCUCGGGAUGUCUCUGGCAGAUGAGCUCUUAGCCGAUCUCGAAGAGGCAGCAGAAGAGGAGGAAGGAGGAAGCUAUGGGGAGGAGGAAGAGGAGCCAGCGAUCGAGGAUGUGCAGGAGGAGACACAGCUGGAUCUUUCCGGGGAUUCGGUCAAGACCAUCGCGAAGCUAUGGGACAGUAAGAUGUUUGCUGAGAUUAUGAUGAAGAUUGAGGAGUAUAUCAGCAAGCAAGCCAAAGCUUCAGAAGUGAUGGGACCAGUGGAGGCAGCCCCUGAAUACCGCGUCAUUGUGGACGCCAACAACCUGACCGUGGAGAUAGAAAACGAGCUAAGUGAGUGCUGGACAGGAGGCGGACGCAGCCCCAUGUGACACCCCUCAUGUCCCCUCUCCCUUCCCCAUUGGCCUUUCCCAGGGUCCUGCCCCUGAGCCCAUGCUCUGAUCCCGGUUCACCUGCUGUAACAGUGGUUUAAAGAAGAAGGAAGUUUGUUCUCUUGUGUAUGAGU
rnacentral:lncRNA from 1 species